GGUUCUUCUCCUCUUCAACCUCCAUUCUCCCCCUCUCCCUUCUUUUCCUCUCUCUUUCACCCUCCCCCACUCUUUCGUGUCUCUUUCCUCCUCUGAAUAACCAAGCUGUUUUGCUUCCGAAAGUAGAGAGAGAGGGAGAGAGAGAGAGAGAGAGAGAGAGAGAGAGAGAGAGAGAGGAGAGAGAGGCCUUGCUGUGAAUGGAAGACAGGAGGGACUCUGGUACAUCUGGGAGUGGAAACUUGAUGCUUCUGGGCUGUGAUUUGCCAAGGUCUCGCCAAAGAGAAGAGCGACAUAAACUAUUUUAGACGCAAUCAAGGAAGAAUCGCCCAUCAUGUGGAAUUGAGCGGCAGUUUUAAAUGUACUAAGAGAAGACUGGUCUCGAAAAAAAAAAAAAAAAA
rnacentral:lncRNA from 1 species